rnacentral:rRNA from 1 species
GUAUCAGGGCUCAGGAUGAACGCUAGCGGCAGGCUUAACACAUGCAAGUCGAGGGGCAGCAUAAUGGAUAGCAAUAUCUAUGGUGGCGACCGGCGCACGGGUGCGUAACGCGUAUGCAACCUACCUUUAACAGGGGGAUAACACUGAGAAAUUGGUACUAAUACCCCAUAACAUCAUGAAAGGCAUCUUUUAUGGUUGAAAAUUCCGAUGGUUAGAGAUGGGCAUGCGUUGUAUUAG